AUUGUUCUUCGGGGCAGGGUGCGAUUCCCUACCGGCGGUAAAGCCCGCGAGCCAAAAGGUUGAUAUGGUGAGAUUCCAUAGCCGACAGUAAAGUCUGGAUGAGAGAAGAAUGAA
rfam:Lachnobacterium bovis DSM 14045 genome assembly, contig: IE72DRAFT_scaffold00025.25